AUGGCGGCUGCGGCCGGGCGCGAUCGGAAACCGCUGGGGAGAAACGAACCCGGGGAGCCGCACGAUAAACCUGCGAGCGGCUUCCCCGCUGCGGCCGGUACCGGAACGGCCCCUUCCUCGUCUCCAAGGCGGAAAGCCCCGGCGGCGCGGGCGGGCAGGGAGAUCCCCCCUCUGCGACGUGGGAUGCUGCCCCCUCCUCGGGCGCUCCGCGGAGAGGGACCGGCACGGCCGGAGGGAGCAGCUCCCCAAAAGGCACUAAACAGCAGGGAGAGGGGAUGCGUCGCCCUCCCGGUCCGGCUGCCGGCGGUUGGGGGGGAUGUUUCCCCUGGGGGAGGCCGGGCAGGGGAGGGAGGCUUGCGUCGGCGUCUCGCGCGAUAUCCGACAGCCGCUCGGACGCGGCCGUCUCCGGAGCCAGCAACGAGCCGUCUAAGUGCCGGUGCGGGGCGCCGGGGGGCUCCGGCCCCUGCCAGCCCCGAGGCCGCCAGCCUUCCUCCCCGCGGGGCCGGGAGCCGCAGCGCUGCGGCGCCCGCUGCUGCUCGAGGCGGCCCGCCUGCGGCUCGGUGCUUUGCGGCUGAGCAGUGCCCGGCGCCCCGGCCCGGCCGCGGAGGCUCCCGACGAGACCCCCGACCUGCCCCGCGGGCGUCUUCCUCCUCGGGGGGCAUCAGCGUGGAAACGGGAUCUCCACUCCCCGGCAAAGCGCCCAGCCGUCGUUUUCGACCCUGCCCCACACCCAGCGGCGCGAGGAAGAGCCGUUCCCGUUCCCGACUCCUGCCAAGAGCUCAAGCUGCAGGAUUUAUUUGGCUUGCGCGCGCAGAAACCCCCCCGCGCCGCAGCAGCGGGAGGUUAAAGGGCAGCGAUGGCCGGAGCCGGAGCAGAUGGACUAAACGAGGUGCCUCGAGGUGGCAACGGCAGCAGCGCUUCCUGAUCCCCAUGCCGCUUCCUUCCCUUUCCCUCGGCGCGCGGCUCCCUUCCGUCCCCUCUGUCGGCGCUGGCUCCGCCGCGGGGCUCCCGUCGCUCCCUUUCGGGCCCGGCCGCUUGCGCCUCUCUGCACGGUGCGCCGGGAACCCGAAGCACCCGGCGCCCUAA
rnacentral:lncRNA from 1 species